GAUGAAGAACGUAGCGAAAUGCGAUAAGUAAUGUGAAUUGCAGAAUUCAGUGAAUCAUCGAGUCUUUGAACGCACAUUGCGCCCGCCAGCAUUCUGGCGGGCAUGCCUGUUCGAGCGUCAUUUCAACCCUCGACUUCCCUUUGGGGAAAUCGGCGUUGGGGACCGGCCGUAUACCGCCGGCCCCGAAAUGAAGUGGCGGCCCGUCCGCGGCGACCUCUGCGUAGUAAUCCAACUCGCACCGGAACCCCGACGUGGCCACGCCGUAAAACCCCCGACUUCUGAACGUUGACCUCGGAUCAGGUAGGAAUACCCGCUGAACUUAAGCAUAUCAAUAAGCGGAGGA
rnacentral:misc_RNA from 1 species